rnacentral:lncRNA from 1 species
GUGAUCAGCGUGCUCAUGGAUGGCUUCUGACUCUCCAGGUUUCCUUGCAAGGGUACUCAAACGUGUGUAUGUGCAGCAAACCAUUGGAAAGCCAGAUAAUAGAUGACUGCCUGAAGAGCAUAACAAAAGAAAGGCGUAUUAUGUGAAGUAUUCAAAUCUCUCUCACAACAUCAGACUUACAUAUCCUAAUGUUAUCGCCUUCGGUAUAGGGAUCUAGAUGUCAGGAAGAUGGUUGAGUUUCCCCGGAUGACAUUUUCAGUUCUUAACAACAUGGGAAGUUUGAUGAGCUAUGUUGCUACCAUUUGCCAUUACUUCCAAAGACCUCAUGUGUCAGAGGAUGAUGAAAACAAGGUCAAUAUCACCCUGUAA